rnacentral:lncRNA from 1 species
UGGAAAAGCGAGGUAGAAUCAUCGGAAUCGCCUAGUCUAUAGUUCAACCACAUGCAUUCUACUAUAUCAUAGGAAUCUACUCAAGUGUUAACAACUAGAUCGACAAAAUAGUGAAUCGCAAUCUCUUGUCAAAAUCCACUCUAUUCGUUGUCGAUACUCCCCCGAUCUCUCGGGCGGAAGCUACCUACAACGAAUGAUCUGAAUGCGCGUCAAUCGUUCGCUACACUCUAUGCCUCAAUCUCUCGACCGGAGACACUCGAGCGCUCAAUACAAUUCAGUUCAGACAUUAAAUCAAUACUCUCGCACGUGACUUAACUCAAAAUCAUUACAACACUAAUGAAGGAUUGUAAAGCAUUAAACAUUGAAUUGCAUCAAAUUAAUCACUAUGAAAAGAGUAGAUUCUUACACAUACAGCAGAUUACACAUGAUCUCCCUACAUUCUAGACUAUCCUAGAUCCUACCUCCGAGGAGUUUAGCUCCUCAUCGUUCUUCGUACGCUUCCUCGCUUCAUCGCCACGGCUUGUGAAUCCAUGAUCUGAUGCGCUUGGAGCUCUCCACUGGAGUGUUGAAUCACGAUCUUCAAGUUCCAAGACCAGAAUGUAGUCCGAUUUCGCAGAAUUUUCCAACCCGAAAACAGAAUUAUGCAGAAAAUAUAUAUACAGAAGGCAACCAC